AGCCAUUCUGACGGUGUGAGGUGAUCUCUCAUUGUGGUUAUGAUUUGCGUUUCCCUGAUGAUGAGUGAAAUGGAGCAUCUUUUCGUGUGUCUGCUGGUCAUCUGCAUGUCGUCUUUGGAGCUGUUUUAGGUGUAUAAACAUUGAGAACUGGGAUGUCACUGAAAGUGGUGUAGGGAACUCCAGGGCUCUUUCUACAAAAGCAGCUAACGGACUGGCAGAAACUGUCAGAGUCAACUUGUGCAGAACUCUCGAAAUCCAGUCAAAAACUUCCCCUAAGAAGCUGCUGCAUUGUGGACCAAACUGACCAAAAAGUGAUUUGGGGAAAAAAAGAAAAAACACCACCAUGCAUCUUUUUGAAACGUCAGACUCGAAUUCCGUUGAGCUCUUGGGGAUGGAUUCCACGGGCUCAAACAUGGGCUCUGCUGUUGACCUGCUGUGUGCCUCUGAGUGCAGCUGCUGAACAUUUAUGUGCCUUCAUGUCCUCCUCUCUUGAGCUGUAGCAAGGAGAGCCAAUGGUUAUGGCAGAGAGCAGCACAAAGAAGGCCAGCCCUGUGGCUUCCCGCAAAGAAAUGUCUGGACCCACAGAGAGAAGCAGCACUUUUACUAGAUUGUGAAGAAGUGUGUUUUCAUGACUUCUGAACACAAACUGUAUGGCUGCCAUUAUGGUAGGAUCUCAAGCCCCAAGAAUUAGGAUUCAGAUUAUU